AUUGAACGCUGGCGGCAUGCCUUACACAUGCAAGUCGAACGGCAGCACGGGGCAACCUGGUGGCGAGUGGCGAACGGGUGAGUAAUGCAUCGGAACGUGCCAUUGAGUGGGGGAUAACGUAGCGAAAGUUGCGCUAAUACCGCAUAUUCUGUGAGCAGGAAAGCAGGGGACCGCAAGGCCUUGCGCUCUUUGAGCGGCCGAUGUCAGAUUAGCUAGUUGGUGAGGUAACGGCUUACCAAGGCGACGAUCUGUAGCGGGUCUGAGAGGAUGAUCCGCCACACUGGAACUGAGACACGGUCCAGACUCCUACGGGAGGCAGCAGUGGGAAUUUUGGACAAUGGGCGCAAGCCUGAUCCAGCCAUGCCGCGUGAGUGAAGAAGGCC
rnacentral:rRNA from 1 species